rnacentral:misc_RNA from 1 species
GAAAGAUAAAUUUAAAAUUCUGAAGAUUGAGAAGAAAAGUUGUUCGGGUAGAAACUAACAAUGGAAUCUUUGGCCGACAGUACUAGCUCAUUAGACACAUCAAGAUGACUGUUUUCCUGUUUUGUCGUGUUGUCAUUAUUGAAAUUUAAGCAUUAGGGAAGUUAUUUUAUUUUUUCUUUUUAAAAUGCAAGAUUUGCAAGACCCAAUAAGAUAGGAUUACAUGGACAAAUUGGCCCAAAUCAAUCCCUAAAAAAUUCCAAACUCAGAGCCCUAUUACUAGGAAGCCAGCCCACAGA